rnacentral:rRNA from 1 species
GAUGAACGCUGGCGGCGUGCCUAAUACAUGCAAGUCGAGCGAACAGAUGAGGAGCUUGCUCCUCUGACGUUAGCGGCGGACGGGUGAGUAACACGUGGAUAACCUACCUAUAAGACUGGGAUAACUUCGGGAAACCGGAGCUAAUACCGGAUAAUAUAUUGAACCGCAUGGUUCAAUAGUGAAAGACGGUUUUGCUGUCACUUAUAGAUGGAUCCGCGCCGCAUUAGCUAGUUGGUAAGGUAACGGCUUACCAAGGCAACGGUGCGUAGCCGACCUGAGAGGGUGAUCGGCCACACUGGAACUGAGACACGGUCCAGACUCCUACGGGAGGCAGCAGUAGGGAAUCUUCCGCAAUGGGCGAAAGCCUGACGGAGCAACGCCGCGUGAGUGAUGAAGGUCUUCGGAUCGUAAAACUCUGUUAUUAGGGAAGAACAAAUGUGUAAGUAACUAUGCACGUCUUGAGGGUACCUAAUCAGAAAGCCACGGCUAACUACGUG